GCUCACGGCCAUACCACCGUGAAAGGACGCCAUCCCGUCCGGUCUGGGAAGUUAAGCAACGUUGGGCCUGGAUAGUACUUGGAUCGGAGGCGGCAUGGGAAUCCCAGGUGUCGCAAGGU
rnacentral:rRNA from 1 species